rnacentral:lncRNA from 1 species
CGACUAAUCUGACAAAAUUACUGGUGCUAGUGAUUGCACAAAUGAUUAUUUUUCACUACAAGUAAUUAUAACCCUUAUAUUUCUGGAAAUACAAGUCUAGCAUGAUGGCAUAUAUUAUUUAAUAUAUCAUGCAUUUGAAUAUAUUUUCCGCAUAAGGAUAAUCAACCCUUCACAUCAAAUCAUGCACUUGAAGAUACGUGGUGUGUAGGUCCAUUAGGGAGAAUCGAUGCAGCAAUGGUCGCGAUCUCCACAGUAACAUUUACUCAAACCUUCUUUGUCACAUAAAGCUUUGCACGAACUAACUGAGCAGUUGAUCUCGAAACAUUCAGCCACUAAUCUCGAAUUACCCGUGCCACCUGAAGUCAAUUGUGGUAGCCACAAUCCCAAUUAGUACAUAUAUACUUCACAUACAAUACAUGGGCCUGAAUAUCGAGGAGUGUAUAUGUAGGUAUUGAACAUAGAUAAAACAUAUAUAGGUAAAGAAAUAUAUAUACCAAUUAGGUUCCUCCCAGCUGCAUGGCACGGCAAGAAAGUGUUGGAUAUGAAAACAAGAGCUAGCAAGCACAUAGCCUUGGCAUUGUUCUUCAUAAACGCCAUAUGAAGUGGUUGGAUCUUAUCUUUGCCUGGCGUUGCUCUUCUAGUCGAUAUGUAUAUGUGCAACUAUAUUCCUC